rnacentral:rRNA from 1 species
UACAGAGGCCUCGAGCGUUAGGCGGAAUCACUGGGCUUAAAGCGUGUGUAGGCGGACCCCUAAGUACCUUGUGAAAUCCCACGGCUCACCCGUGGAACGGCUGGGUAUACUGGGGGUCUUGAGCCACCUAGGGGCGAGUGGAACAAAUGGUGGAGCGGUGAAAUGCGUAGAUAUCAUUUGGAACGCCAAUGGUGAAAACAACUCGCUGGGGGUGUGCUGACGCUGAGACACGAAAGCCAGGGGAGCAAACGGG